ACCAAAGUCACCAUUAUCAGCAAAAGGAUCGGCUUCUCCAGAUGGGAAAUCGUUCAAGACUCCAUUGUCGAAUUUCCUACAAGAUUCCAAGCUCCAAGACUUGAACUUCCCACCAAUCAACCUGUUUGAUGAAAUGACAACAACUUCCCUCGAUUUAAAGCUCCAGUCUUGUUCAACCCCAAGCCCUUACCAAAGUGUUUGUACCCUCGACAAGGUUAAACACGCCCUGGAAAGAGCAGAAAAAGGAGGAAACAUGAAGAAGCGUUCAUCGUCACCACCACCGCCACCGUCAUCGCCGCCUGCAACGUCGUCUUCAUCAACACCAAGAAUGUUUGCAGC
rnacentral:lncRNA from 1 species